rnacentral:tRNA from 1 species
UGGCUCAGAUGGUAAAGUAUCUGCCUGUAAUGCGGGUGACCCAGGUUCGAUCCCUGG